UGAAUCCUGUGGGCAAAACCCAACAUGUGAAUCUCCCCAGACAUUCAUCCCCACCUGCCACCUUGGAGACAUGGGAUACAAUGGAAUGAGGAAUACGAUUCUAUUGAAAACCAGGACUGGUUUCCAAGAGCGUCCUUAAAAACGCCGAACUUCAGAGAAAAUGGUCUCAAUCCAGCACUCAGAGGGAAAAGCACAACACCAGAAAAACAGGCGGCUGCGAAGGGCUUUGGAAGCCGUGUGAACCGGUGACCCGAGCUCAGGUCCACAGUUGGGAUACAGGAGGACAAAUCACUGGCUAGGCCAUGACUCGGUGAGUGAUCGUGGGUCAGUCACAUAACCUUUUGUCUUCCUCAUCUGCUGAGGACAGAGGUUGACCCUGGGCUCUGACGUUACCAGGCCCCCAGCAGGAUGCAGCACAAAGAUCAUACUUGCUCCAUUCCAUUUUGCCUAUGAAAGAAAAUUUGGAGGCCUGGCAGAAAACCUCUCUACGAAUGCGGGUGGGGACUGGAGUUUUCUGGAACAGGAGCACCAACUGUGCCAGGUGCCACACCUUCUUUCCUGCCUGAGGAGAAAUGCUUUUUCAGUACACAAUUCAAUGAUUUCUGAUAUGAGUGUACACCCUUGAAAACUUCACCCUGGAAAAAUUAUGAUAAUAAACAUAGACACCACUCAGAAGUUCCCUUAUGCCCCUUAUAAUCCUCCACCCCCAACUGUCCCAUGCCUAGAUCUGCUUUCUGUCACACUGGAUUAGUUUUCAUUUCCUAGAGUUUUAUAUACCGGGAAACAAUAUGUGUCAGCACAGCAUGGCUGCCUUCAUGCACCAUCAUGAUUUUAAGAUUCAUCGCUGUUGUGGACAUCAGCAGCUGCUUCCUUUUCACCGUCGAGUAGUAUGAUCUGUUGAAGAACAUGUGGAUUGUUUCUAGUUUGCAGCUUUUCCAAAUAAAGGUUCCAUG
rnacentral:lncRNA from 1 species